CCAAGCAGAUAAAUGGCAUGGCUGGCAGCAAUGACCCAACUCUACACCCAUCGCUAGACUUCUUGUCUUUGGCAACAUCCCCCUUAUGGUCUCCACACAAGAUAUAUUUCUUCCCACCUCAGAUUCAUUUUUUUCAGACUUACAAUAUCAAAGAAGACUUGGCAAACAUCAAUAGUAUUCAAUAGUUCACAGACAUGAUCCUUUGAAAUAAAAAGGAAGAGAAAGACUGACAGCAAUCUAGAAGCAAAUCCGGUAUGGAUAACCUGAAGUUGCAUUAUCUGAAAAAGAAGCUUCCAUCAAUCAAAUAUUUACUGAUUAACUUCUGCAACACUUCUACCAGUUCCUUUUUUAUACCCCAAAGGAAGGUUACUAUUUUCUGGGACCAACCCUUAUGAAAGAAAAAUGGUUAAGUCAUGCAAGUAGAACAUUCUUUCAAUGUGAUUUUAUAGUCGGUCAUUACUGUAACUAUUGCCAGUAGUCUUCUCAACUCUGGAGCUAUGGGAAUGGGUGGGUCAGUGAUAUGCCCUAUUUCCUUCCCACGUGAAAAGAAAAUAUUAGUAAAGUAUUUAUUUCUCAUUUCCCCCUCACUUCUUUUAAUAAAUCACCACAUCUCCAACUCAGAACAUCUUAAGCAUGCCACAGUAAAACUGUCAACUUAGUCAAGCAUUAUAUUUGAAAUGGGAAAGAGACCAAAGAUUACUCUUAAUUAGGAAGGGAUAUAUAGUACAAAUCAGCAACAUGGAGAAAGAAAAUGUACUUAUCACCAUGAUUUUUGCCUUGAUUAUAUAGCCCUAGAAAGAAAUAGGGUCAGACUCUACAAUGCUGGAGGAUACAUGAACAUCUGAGGCUGCUUGUCUACUUCAUGCAUAACCUGUAAAUCUGGUCUGUGCAAUGGUUGGCCCAUACAAAGUAGUAAUUACCACAGGCAAGAAACUACUAGGAGUCAAAAUUUAAACUGAGUACAUAUAACAGGAACUGCUACAAAGCUUCUAACUGAGAUUAGAGAAAACUUGUUUUUGCAUAACCAUUUACUAAUUUGUAGCCAGUAUAUGAUGGGUUGUUUAACUGAUCAAAUGUCAAUCAACCUGACAUUUCAUUUGGAUGAUUCUAAAGUAAGAAACUCAAGUUUAUAUUGUUGAAUGAUUACACCUUAAUUUUCAUGUUUCAUAAGAAUUGCGGGAAGAGUAACACCCCAACAACAGAACAUUUGAAAUGUAAUACAUUGCCUACUGCUAUGAUAAUUCACAUGGCUUGAGUUAUGCAAAUGUAUUUUUUAAUAUAUUUGUGUAAUAUUUAAAUAAAUGAUGUAUUGUGGAUAAAUA